rnacentral:lncRNA from 1 species
AAUUUUGGGGAAAAAAAGAACUUCAGUGGGAAGCUCCCAACGACGUCUUAUUGAAAAUUCCUGCCUGAUUUACUAUCAUAUAUCAAUUUUGUCUCUACUCAAAUAAAAUAAUCUUUCUACCUAUGUUUUUUUUUUUUUUUUUGAAUUUGAAUUUGGUAUUAAAAGCCACACGGCGUACAUUUGGAUCGAGAUAACAAUUAACACGUGGCAGUG